UAGGGAAUAUUAGAAAUGGACGCAAGUCUGAUCUAGCAACACCGCGUGUGCGAUGAAGGCCUUCGGGUUGUAAAGCACUUUUUGGAAGGAUUAGGAAGGAAUGUACUUCCAGAAUAAGUCUCGGCUAACUACGUGCCAGCAGCCGCGGUAACACGUAGGAGGCGAACGUUAUCCGGAUUUACUGGGCGUAAAGCGCGUGUAGGUGGUUCUGUAAGUAGGGCGUGAAAGCUCCUGGCUCAACUGGGAGAGGCCGUUCUAAACUGCAGAG
rnacentral:rRNA from 1 species